rnacentral:rRNA from 1 species
UAGGGAAUAUUGGUCAAUGGGUGAGAGCCUGAACCAGCCAUGCCGCGUGCAGGAAGACGGCCUUCUGGGUUGUAAACUGCUUUUGCCAGGGGCUAAAAAGCUCAUGCGUGAGAAAUUGAAAGUACCUGGUGAAUAAGCCACGGCUAACUACGUGCCAGCAGCCGCGGUAAUACGUAGGUGGCGAGCGUUGUCCGGAUUUAUUGGGUUUAAAGGGUGCGUAGGCGGCUUAAUAAGUCAGUGGUGAAAUAUGGCAGCUCAACUGUCAGGGUGCCAUUGAUACUGUUGAGCUUGAGUACAGAUGAGGUAGGCGGAAUUGACGGUGUAGCGGUGAAAUGCUUAGAUAUCGUCAAGAACACCGAUAGCGAAGGCAGCUUACUGGGCUGUAACUGACGCUGAUGCACGAAAGUGUGGGGAUCAAACAGG